AAUGAGUUAGUUGUAUGAGACAGUACCUUGAAAAAGCAGUCCUUUCUGUGACCUCAAGUUGGUUUGGGGAAUGAAGAGAUUGAAAAGAUGAGAGUGCUGAGACACACAUUAUUAAUUGUCAAGACAGCUUCAUUUUCAUGGGAGAUAUAACUGAAGACUUAUAACACAAAGAAAGAAUUCCAGACCAUUUUCUUGACUUGCAGAGUUGCUUUUCAACUGGGCACUGGAUACCAGAGGAAGUAAUUCAGAGCAUUUUGAGAACAUUCUGUAGUUUCCUCCAUGGCACAAAAACUCCAAUGUGAAAAGAUGAAUGAGACCCUUAGAGAAUCCACCUGUUGAAGUAGAAUAUGAACUUCUUCAACUACCUAAAUUUGGGUAGUUCAUGAAUGAAGGUACUCUAUGUACUAUAUUAGUAGAUUACACCAGUAGGAGAAAG